GGACCUAAUCAAGAAGUUUCUGGUGAUUGAUCGGGCAAGAAGGCUUGGAAACAUGAAGAAUGGAGCUGAUGAUGUGAAGAAGCACAGAUGGUUUAAGUCAGUAGACUGGGAUUCUGUGCCCUGUAGAAAACUCAAGCCACCCAUAGUUCCCAAGGUGUCUCACGAGGGUGACACGUCUAACUUUGACACCUAUCCAGAGGAUGAGUGGAAGAAGGACACACCAGUGCCAGCUAAGGAUUUGGAAAUUUUCAAGGACUUCUGAAAGGAUAUUCUUUUGAAUGAAUAAAAAGACAGGACUGAUGGAAGAUAAUGAUUUAGCUGAAGUUUUAGCCUAACCAUUCAGGAGACAUUAAAAGGUCAUAGUUGCAUUAUUAUUAUAGACAUGUCUUGCCUGCUUGUUCCCGAGUCCUGCACACUUGAGAAACGGAAACAGACUUCUUCUGAUCCUCAUUAAUGUGAUCAUAAUCAUAGUCAAACGUUUACCAAGGAAACAGUUCAUCACUUCAACCUCUUGUAUGAUGAGCAACUUGAUUCAACACCCUCUGAGUCUCUUAUAUUAUGCAAAAGGAAUGUUUUUAAAUAUCAUUUCAAAUAAGCAAUAUCAAGGUUCUUUAAGCUGGAUCAAGACAAUGUCUUUGCUUAUGCCUAAACGUGUAUGGUCAUGGUUUUGUUUUGACUUUAUACCUUAACAAACUUGCUGAAUUAGAGCUUUAAGCCUGACAAAUUUUAUUUCUGGUUAUCUGUACUUGCUGUGUUGAUCCAUUCCUCCCACAUGGUAUUUCUAUGUAAAUUUUGUAACAUUAGGGCUGUUUCACACUGCACUAGCUGUGACAAUGUGCUUUUAUACUGGCAGCAUUUCUCCUGCGUAACAAACCUGCCAGUCUAUACAAAAAAAAAGAAUAAUAAUAAAACAAAUAAUGCACACUAUUAAUACAAAUUAACAUUAAUUACCAAAAUAAAUAAUGGCAAUUAAUCUUAAAAUGGUCAUUCAUAUUUGAGACUACAAAAAUGUAUACUCUGAAAUGUAAUUUACAUGUAGCUGUAGGCCAUAUUUACAUCCAAAAAGUCAUUCAUCUAAACCAGAACCCAAACUCUAAACUGUAUCGAUAAAUUGUCACUUGGAUUCAGUCAUAAUUACUAAACAGAAAGUGCUGCUUGUGUGUGUGUGUGUGUGUGUGUGUGUGUGUGUGUGUGUGUAUGUGUAUGUGUGCGUGCGUGCGUGCGUGCGUGUAUGUGUGUCUGUGUUUUUUCCAGAUCGCAGGUAAAUAAUAACCUCCCGUAUUUUAUUUGAUUACUGUAACCUGUUGAUAUUGUAUGUAAGCCCAUUUCUGUCACAAGAAAAAAAAUGCUUUGGUAAAUCAAUUAUUACAUACAAAGUCAUAAU